GACGAACGCUGGCGGCGUGCUUAACACAUGCAAGUCGAACGAAAAUACCAAGCUUGCUUGGUUGAUUAGUGGCGAACGGGUGAGUAACACGUGAGUAACCUGCCCCUUACUUUCCUGGAUAACUGCUCGAAAGGGUAGCUAAUACGGGAUAUUCUGACCAGCCUGCAUGGGUUGGUUUGGAAAGGUUGUUUUUCUGGUAAGGGAUGGGCUCGCGGCCUAUCAGCUUGUUGGUGGGGUGAUGGCCUACCAAGGCUUUGACGGGUAGCCGGCCUGAGAGGGUGGACGGUCACACUGGGACUGAGAUACGGCCCAGACUCCUACGGGAGGCAGCAGUGGGGAAUAUUGCACAAUGGGCGCAAGCCUGAUGCAGCGACGCCGCGUGAGGGAGGAAGGCCUUCGGGUUGUAAACCUCUUUCGUCAGGGAACAAGGCACUGCUUUUGUGGUGGUGUUGAGGGUACCUGGAUAAGAAGCGCCGGCUAACUACGUG
rnacentral:rRNA from 1 species